GACGAACGCUGGCGGCGUGCUUAACACAUGCCAGUCGAACGGUGAAGCGCCUUCCUUUUUGGUGGGUGUGGAUGAGUGGCGAACGGGUGAGUAACACGUGAGUAACCUGCCCCCUUCUUCUGGAUAACCGCAUGAAAGUGUGGCUAAUACGGGAUAUUCUGGGUCUGUCGCAUGAUGGGUCUGGGAAAGAUAUUGUUUCGGUGGGGGAUGGGCUCGCGGCCUAUCAGCUUGUUGGUGGGGUGAUGGCCUACCAAGGCGGUGACGGGUAGCCGGCCUGAGAGGGUGGACGGUCACACUGGGACUGAGACACGGCCCAGACUCCUACGGGAGGCGGCAGUGGGGAAUAUUGCACAAUGGGCGCAAGCCUGAUGCAGCGACGCCGCGUGAGGGAUGGAGGCCUUCGGGUUGUGAACCUCUUUCGCCAGUGAAGCAGGCCUGCCUCGUUUGUGGGUGGGUUGACGGUAGCUGGAUAAGAAGCGCCGGCUAACUACGUG
rnacentral:rRNA from 1 species